rnacentral:rRNA from 1 species
AAUUGGAGGGCAAGUCUGGUGCCAGCAGCCGCGGUAAUUCCAGCUCCAAUAGCGUAUAUUAAAGUUGUUGCAGUUAAAAAGCUCGUAGUUGAAUUUCGGGAUUGACACAUCGGUCGUGCCUUAAGGGGUAUGAACUGGUGUAGUCAAUUUCUCACCUUCUGGAGAACCGCGAUGCCCUUAAUUGGGUGUCACGGGGAACCAGGACCUUUACUUUGAAAAAAUUAGAGUGUUUAAAGCAGGCAUUUUGCUUGAAUACAUUAGCAUGGAAUAAUAAAAUAGGACGGCAUGAUUCUAUUUUGUUGGUUUCUAGGAUCACCGUAAUGAUUAAUAGGGAUAGUUGGGGGCAUUAGUAUUCAAUUGUCAGAGGUGAAAUUCUUGGAUUUAUUGAAGACUAACUACUGCGAAAGCAUUUGCCAAGGAUGUUUUCAUUAAUCAAGAACGAAAGUUAGGGGAUCGAAGACGACCAGAUACCGUCGUAGUCUUAACCAUAAACUAUGCCGACUAGGAAUCAGACGAUGUUAAUUUUUUAAUGACUCGUUUGGCACCUUACGGGAAACCAAAGUGU